CUAAAGUGUAGGCAGUUGUUGCUGUUCUCAGGUGGCUCCAAGAAAGACUCUAAACAAUGUAUUCUGGGAGCUUACGCUUCCCAUCUUGGCACUGGAUCUGGCCUGCCAUUUGGGACAUAUCCAGGUAGUUGGCAGUUGCGAGUCUCCAUGUCAGCUUCUGCUUUCUUGAUAACUGUUUUUCUCUCUACGUGACUAGGGUUGAGUGAGAUGAAUAUAUCGAUGAUGAUUAACAGAAUUAAAGGCUACCAGUGCACUAAAGAAGAUAUGGAAUUUCUCCGACACAUGAAAAACCAAGAACAAGGACAGAUACUGAAGGCAAAAUAUUUACGUCUACAAAAGGAACUAACCACCGUGGUUCAGGCAAAGGAACUGCUAUUGGCACAGCGAGAGAAAGUGCAAGGAGAGAUUGUACAAAUGGUAACUGACCCACUAAGUAUAAGCUACACUGCAAGAUUAAUGCUGCCUCUUUUUGUUUGUUUCUUCAAUUCAAGCAAACCUUGAAAACAUCUUAUGCUAGAACAGUCCAACUUGGAAGAGCCUUCCUGGGUAACAGAAUGGAUCCUGCUGCUGUUGAAACUUUGCCAGCAAAAGAUGUGCUUGAGCAGCUGAAUCCUGUGACGCUGCAGCAUUUUCAACAGCGAGAGCAGGCUGAACUUCAGGCACUUAAGGAAGAGCUAAAGAAGUUAAAAAGUUCCAUUGCCCAACUGCCUCAGAAACAGGGAACAAGGCUGAAAAGAAAGUCCUAUAAACAAUGGAUACAGGAAGCGGAACAGAGCGUACAGCAAGAACAGGAAGAUGUGAAGAACCUGCAAUGUGAAGUUGAAACAGCACAGUCAAAACUAGCAGCAGUUCAGGAACAGCUGUGUAACACAAGAGCUGAAAUAGAGAAAUUGCAUACUUUGAAAGAGAGGACGCCUGUUUCUCGGUCACUGGAGAAUGCUGAAGAUUUUGACACUGAUUACCUUAACAGAAGACUUAACAGAAUCUUACGAAGAACAGAUAUCUUUUUAGAAAGGGAAAAAAUAAUCAAAAAAUUUAGUCUUUUGGAUUGA
rnacentral:lncRNA from 1 species